CCCAGUCCUCUGAGCUCCGCCCUUAAGCCGAUCUGCUCCGUUCAUCGGACCUCCGUGCUCAGCCUCAUGCGCCAUCACCAAAUCCGCCACACACGGCGGUCGGGAUCCGAAAAGCUUCGCUUUUCUCGGCAAAUCUAGAAGGUACUCCUCUCUCCUCUGUUUUUAAUGUAUUAUAUGCAGGUUGCUUACAAUAAAGUAAAAAAAUAAAAUAAAAGUAGAAAGAGAACAAUAGAUCACCUUCGUUUCUCGUGAAAUCUUUUUGAUAUAUUAUUGCAAAAAUAUUUGGUGUACAAUAUCUUUGUGGUGUUUUUCUCUCUGUGUGUGUAUCGAAAGUGUCCUCCCUUUUUACAGAUUCCUAGAAAGGCUUUAUAUCCUUAAACUGACAUAUUUUAGGAAAGAAAUCACAAGAUUUCUUUUCCAUAUCUUGUUCUAAUCUGCCUACUAAUUUUCUUUCCUUUUUCGCAGGAAAAUCACAAAGAUCCCUGUGGCAGACUCGUCGACGUUGAUAGAGGCACGAAAUCUGGUGGUGAGGAGCCCUGGGUAUGCUGAGAAGUCCAUUGAUGGCCUCGACAGUGCAUUGAUGGCCUCGAUUCGGGGAGCUGGAUAGACGCUCCCUAAAGCUUCCAGAAAUUGUUGCGGCGCUAGGAGGGAAAGGAAGAAACCCUAGGGUUUCCUGCCUCAGUGUAAAAGUUGGGCCAAUUAGGCCACUUAAGUUUUGUAAUCGGGUUAAGGGUUUUAGGGGUUGAUAGGUUUACUGGGUUUAGUGUAUUUGGGUUACACGGGUAUUGGUUAUGCGGUUUGUUUAAGCUUGGGCCCCAAUGCUUGGGCUUUGUAACCUGGACUGUUAAAUGGACUUUAAAAUAAAUAUUUAUUUAUCUA
rnacentral:lncRNA from 1 species